UACGUAGGUGGCAAGCGUUGUCCGGAUUUACUGGGCGUAAAGAGCGCGCAGGCGGUCGUUCAAGUCGCGUGUGAAAGCCCCCGGCUCAACUGGGGAGGGUCACGCGAUACUGAUCGACUCGAAGGCAGGAGAGGGUAGUGGAAUUCCCGGUGUAGUGGUGAAAUGCGUAUAUAUCGGGAGGAACACCAGUGGCGAAGGCGACUACCUGGCCUGUUCUUGACGCUGAGGCGCGAAAGCUAGGGGAGCAAACGGG
rnacentral:rRNA from 1 species